GGCCAUAUCACAUUAAAAAACCUGUUCUCGUCCGCUCACCGAAGUUAAGCAACGUUGAAGUUGGUCAGUACUUAGAUGGGUGAGCGCUCGAAUAUACCAUGUGCUGUAAG